rnacentral:lncRNA from 1 species
UUUGAAAUAGACUUUCUGGGUCCUGGUUCUUGUAGAUGGCAUUUGCCUCUGGUUUGAUUUCAUCAUGGUGUACAUGAGGUCAUGUGUCUUGCCGGAAUGGGAGUGGACCAUGGACCUCAUGGCUUACUGGGGGUGCAGUCUAGCUAGGCUUUGUUACUGCCCCUCAGGGCAGUGGGCUUUUACAACAGCCCUUAAUCUUGUGAUAGUACCUCCUUAUCACAGCAUUACUUGGUGUUUCUAAUCUUUGCAGGUGCGGAAAUGGAGACUGAAAUGAGACUCCAGCUGUGUUGAUCGCUUUUGAAGCCUCCUUGGCCUUUAACAAAGCAAUCCGUAGUUUCUGGUUCCUGGCCUAAGCUUGAUUCUAUCUAUGUGUUUGUCCUCCUCCCAGACUCCUUCAGAUUUUGAAUAAGGAACCCAGCUGUGCCUAUUGUCUGACAUCUGAAUAGAAUGAACCGCAGCCAUUGUAGCCAGCUAGAGGAAAACACAUCUGCUAAUCAGUGCUUCUGGACACUAGAUCAGGCCAGACUGGGCUUCGAAAGUCCCAGUCUCAAAUAAAUGUGAUUUUAUAUAU